rnacentral:rRNA from 1 species
AUUGAACGCUGGCGGCAGGCCUAACACAUGCAAGUCGAACGAGUGGCGGACGGGUGAGUAAUGUCUGGGAAACUGCCUGAUGGAGGGGGAUAACUACUGGAAACGGUAGCUACUACCGCAUACCAUCAGCUGUGCUCAGAUGGGAUUCGCUAGUUGGUGGGGUAACGGCUGACCAAGGCGACGUGCCCUAGCUGGUCUGAGAGGGUGACCGGCCACACUGGAACUGAUACACGGUCCAGACUCCUACGGGAGGCAGCAGUGGGGAAUAUUGGGCAAUGGGCGCAAGUCUGAUGCAGCCAUGCCGCGUGUAUGAAGAAGGCUUUCGGGUUGUAAAGUACUUUCAUUGGGGAAGCGUUACCUACACAAAAAGCACCGGCUAACUCCGUGCCAGCCGCCGCGGUAAUUC